AUAGCGUAUAUUAAAGUUGUUGCAGUUAAAAAGCUCGUAGUUGAACCUUGGGUCUGGGUGACUGGUCUCCCUAACUGGGUGCACUGAGAACCCGGACCUUUCCUUCUGGCAAGCCUCAUGCCCUUUACUGGGUGUGUUGGGGAACCAGGACUUUUACUUUGAAAAAAUUAGAGUGUUCAAAGCAGGCAUUUGCUCGAAUACAUUAGCAUGGAAUAAUAGAAUAGGACGUGCGGUUCUAUUUUGUUGGUUUCUAGAACCGCCGUAAUGAUUAAUAGGGAUAGUCGGGGGCAUCCGUAUUCAAUUGUCAGAGGUGAAAUUCUUGGAUUUAUUGAAGACGAACUACUG
rnacentral:rRNA from 1 species